rnacentral:rRNA from 1 species
AUUGAACGCUGGCGGCAGGCUUAACACAUGCAAGUCGAGCGGAGAUGAGGUGCUUGCACCUUAUCUUAGCGGCGGACGGGUGAGUAAUGCUUAGGAAUCUGCCUAUUAGUGGGGGACAACAUUCCGAAAGGAAUGCUAAUACCGCAUACGUCCUACGGGAGAAAGCAGGGGAUCUUCGGACCUUGCGCUAAUAGAUGAGCCUAAGUCGGAUUAGCUAGUUGGUGGGGUAAAGGCCUACCAAGGCGACGAUCUGUAGCGGGUCUGAGAGGAUGAUCCGCCACACUGGGACUGGGACACGGCCAAGACUCCUACGGGAGGCAGCAGUGGGGAAUAUUGGACAAUGGGGGGAACCCUGAUCCAGCCAUGCCGCGUGUGUGAAGAAGGCCUUAUGGUUGUAAAGCACUUUAAGCGAGGAGGAGGCUACUGAGACUAAUACUCUUGGAUAGUGGACGUUACUCGCAGAAUAAGCACCGGCUAACUCUGUGCCAGCCGCCGCGGUAACAC